rnacentral:piRNA from 1 species
UACCCCAAUUCCCCUGGAUUGCAGGUCCCA